GACGAACCGUGCGAACGUUAUUCGGAAUCAUUGGGCUUAAAGGGCGCGUAGGCGGCGGUGUAAGUUGGAAGUGAAAUCCCAUCGGCUCAACCGUGGAAUUGCUCCCAGUACUGCAUCGCUCGAGGGGGAUAGGGGUCUGCGGAACUACCGGUGGAGCGGUGAAAUGCGUAGAUAUCUGGAGGAACACCGGUGGCGAAGGCGGCAUCCUGGACCGACAUUGACGCUGAUGAGCGAAAGCCAGGGGAGCAAACGGG
rnacentral:rRNA from 1 species